AGGCAAGGCCAAGGCUUCUUGAAAGGCUGGUCAUGCCCCAGUGAUCAAUGAAGAACUCAGGGAUAUCCCAAAACUCAGGACUAUAAGGCACAAUGGGGGAGCAGGUACCAGGUGGCCAGCAUCCUAAAUGACUCUCAGCAGCUGCAGAGAACAUUCUCAUAAAAGAGAAUCAGUCAUCCUGAGGUAUAGAAUGCUGGGGCCCUUCCAUUACUCCAUGCACUGGGGAAGAACUAGAAUUGUGAGAAGAGCUUUCACGCUCCCAUAACCAUUCCUUGGCCCACCUCCAAGAAAAGGCAGGCUGGCCUCUGUUUAGGUGUUGUCUGUGCUUGCAUUCCCAACGUUGACAUGAGGAAUUAUCAAUGGGUUCCGGACAUAAUCAGCCACACGGCAGAGUGAAUUCCAGGAGUGUAAAUAACAAGAGCUGCCUAUAAAUCUACCUCAGAAGACAAAGGGAAAAGCAAAACUCUGCCCAGGAAGACCUUACUUUACAAACCAGGUGACCAAAUUUCUAAAACAUCAUUCCCGUAAUCCCUGAUCAACAGAAAGGAAGCUCUGGAAGCAUGAAUGCUCAACCAUAUUUACCAGCCUUCCUGUGGUCAUUUGUCUGAGCUCCAGCUAGUGAAGUAUGAGUAGAACGGACAUGCACCACUUCCAGACCUGGCACCGGCAAACCCCCCAUGGCAACCCUCCAACCCUUUCCUCAACAACUGGACCACGCUGGAAAGGACUGAGGAUCUAGAGGAGGACAGGGCUGUAAUAUGGAAGGAGUUUGGUUUCUGAAGGACCAUGUAGCAGGCCACCUGCAGGGCGGGAACAUCUUUAAUAGGUUUGGAAUAGCAAGAAAUAAACUGGUCUUGUAUUAAACAACUAA
rnacentral:lncRNA from 1 species